rnacentral:lncRNA from 1 species
CUUUAAAACGAAGAGAUGCUCGACUCACAACUAACAAAGACAGUUACGAAAAGUGAAACUUUCAACCUCUGGCAGGGCCCAAGCACUCGGCAUUUUAUUUUACUUACUUGUGCUCGUAUUGACUGCCCCGUCGUAUUUCAAUGUGUUUUGUGGAACCAUCCUGCACUCCAUAAAUCAUUUUCUUACUAUAUGGCGGAUAAAGAAAAAGAAAUAUGAAACGAUGACGAAAUUCUACAGCUAUUUUUCGCAUUUGGAUCGUAGCCAAGAAAAUUAAUUACAGAUGGCCAGAAAGCUUCACGAAAAAGCACUAAUUUACGGCUACAUAAGAUCACAAAUGAAAACAACAGGAUAUAUACAACUGUGACAUUGAAAGUUGACGAACGAAGACAAAAAGUACACGGAUGCCUUAACAAACAUGGUUGAACAUUUAAAAUUUAGUGGCGUAAGCUACGAAAAGAGAUUAAUUGCGCCAAUGUGGGAAGCAAUUACUCGUGUUGAGAAUUAUUCCUGCUUGCAAUAAUGGUGAAGCGGGCUUGCAGUGCAAAAACAAUGACCUUGAUAUACAAUCGAAAUAUAAAACAGACUGGCACCCAUGAUAAAUGUUUUUCAGUCAAUAUACAGUGGAAGUCUUCGGUCGGUUGCCGGUCGGUACUCGGUCGUGUUUGUUCAAUGGCCAAAACCCGUCUCGCACAGUGAACUCUAUAUAUAUGAAAGGCUCGCUCUAGUACAUUGCGUAAUCUAAAUGUGAAGCCAAACAUAGCGGAUCAUGAAGGCUGCUUGGGUGACGAACCAGACCUCCACGCAAAACACAAAUAUACGGCAUAAGUUACCUCUCUAGAAAGAAUAACAUUGCCAGGUAAGGCCGUAAUGUUAGCUUUCUUAUUUUUUGUCAUAGUUUUAUAAUUCAUGUUUUUAAUUUCCACGCGCGUUUCGCGCAUUAUACGCUUCCUGGAGGUCUGGUUCGGUACCCAAGCAGCCUUCAUGAUCCGCCAUGUUUGGCUUCACACUUUGAACGGGAGCGAGCCUUCCAUAUAUAUAUAUAUAGAGAGAGAGAGAGUUCCUUGGUAUCGCAUGGUUUUAAACAGACAUUUAGAUGUAUGCAUUGCUAUAAUUCAAAAUGCCAGCAAUCGGAAGAAACAACAACCAGCAUAUAGCACUCUAUGCCCAAUUAUCGAUGGAUAUGCACACCACGAUAUUCCAAAACAAGCCGAUCAUGCAAGAAUCGAUUGUACAAAACCGAGUGAAACAUCUAAUGGCUUCUCUACCUGCACGUGAUGAAGCGAUGAGGGAGUUAUAAUAUCCACUGCACCAAUAUGAAGCUUGGAUUUCAAUAAUCAUACAUUAAAAACAUUGUUUACUAGAAAACUAAUAUAAUGAUUGUAGUAUUUAGUUUUCGUGCAAAAAUCGUCGAUAAACGUUAUUUAGUAAAUACAUAACAGAAAGUACAUGCACGUAUUUAAGACAUUGCAAUUUGCUAAAUGUUAAAUGUGAAGUGUUGGGAUGGAUUGGAAGAGGAUGAAGUUGAUAUUGAGGAGGUUCGCGAUUUAGAAAUAUCGAGGAUGUUGUGAUUGAUUACAAACGAGCAAUGCAAAAGGGCAAAAUAUUAUUAUUCUAUUUCUUUUCCAGCACUAAAAGCCUCCAAAAAAGUAAAAUUUUUCACUAGACUGGCAUCAAGAGAUAAAAAAAUGUUGUA